UCUAAGCAGCCUCAGAUGAGCUGACAUACUCUGGGCUCUGGUCUCCCCAUCUAAAGAGAUGCUUCGUACCUGAGUGCCUGGACACUUCAGUUCUUCAUGAGAACUGCUUCUGGAGGCAGCGCAGUCCAGCCUGUCCUGUGCCCCUGCAGCAGCCAAGUUAACUGCAAUGAGAACAGACAUCCACGAAUGUCUCUAUUUUCACUGCAGCUCAUUUCCCAUCACACUGGCAGAGACAGAAUGUUUUGCUGUUGGCAACCUUGGAGCUGCAGUGAUGCCCAUCCUCACUGUGUGCCUACAGAGUGGGAGAAAGGAAAAAAAUUAAUCCCUUUUGACAGAAGGGUGUCAGGGACUGGGAAUCAACCAAACUCCAAAUGCUGGGAAAAGUAUCCUCCUUACACUGUUAUUACUGCUGUUGCUCAGGACAUUGGUUGGUUGUAACAUUUCCAAUAACUGGUGUACACAGGGUGCAGCAAGGCCAGAAUCCCUCCAGAAGCAGAAUCCUCUCUUGUACAUAAACAACUCAAGCUCACAUCAAAUUUUGAAUUACUGGGAUGGUUAAAUAGACUUUAAAAUCCUGCCUCUGCUUGCCACACUUCAUCUACCUGAACCAGAGCCAGUAGCCAGAGCCUAUGCUCAUGCAGCUGAAACCCCUGGGUAUUGCUGUGGACAUCACCAGGCAUCAGGUAAAAAUGUGGAGGGGGAAGACAACCAUAAUCCAAUUUCCGGAGGAGUCUCUGGGGAGAUUAUUGACAAUGACUGGAAUAUAAAGGGUGGGAAUGAAGAUGAAUACUAGCAUGAUUUUUGCUCCCUUCAUUUUUUGCCUGAUCAGUCCAAGGUCACUGCUAGCACAAAUGAGAGCAGCCUGGAGGCUUCUGUAAACCACAUCAGUUGGCAAAACCUUAGAACAAAAAGGUAUGAGGAGAGAGGGAGCACUUCUAAUGAUGAAAACGAGCAUAUGUCUCAGGACAUUUGGAAACAUUCUUAAAAACAAGAAUAACAUUAAUUUGUAAUAACAGACUAUCUUCAAAAUUCCUAUACUCCAGAAAUACUGGCAUUUCAAUGAUACGUGAAAGUAAAUGAAAUAGUGUUGCAUAAGAAACUCCCUCAUUUUUUUAA